UUCACUCACACACACCACACUUCUUCCUCCUUUCCCCUUGCCCACCUACGGCCUCCAUCCACCACCAUACAACCAUCAUUUUCAUCCAUUAAUCAACCAUUCCAAGCUUAACAUAAGGUGCUAGAAGGUGAAUCAAGGGUGCUUGAAGUUGUAGAUCACUAAGGAGCUUCAUACAUUGCUUUUCACCAUCUUUCUUCUUCAUCUUCUUCUAGAAUUUCUACCCUAGCCUUGUGCUAGUAGUUGUCGUGUAGCGGACAGGGUUUGAGAUUCGAUUCAAGACGCACUACUGAGCAAAUGCGUAGGAUGAUCGUGACACGCUAGGGUGGACUUGGGCCUUGGUGACAUAAAACAGAACUAUACGUAGUUUAAUUACGUCAUGUGCUCUUUAUUUCUGUAGUUUUAAGACAAUGUAACUUGUUGGUUCUUGUUUGAAACAAUGUAUU